rnacentral:rRNA from 1 species
GUCCACGCUGUAAACGAUGGGCACUAGGUGUUCGGGGUAUUGACCCCCUGAGUGCCGCAGCUAACGCAUUAAGUGCCCCGCCUGGGGACUACGGCCGCAAGGUUAAAACUCAAAGGAAUUGACGGGGGCCCGCACAAGCGGUGGAGCAUGUGGUUCAAUUCGACGCAACGCGAAGAACCUUACCUGGGCUAGACAACGUCGGACAGCCCCAGAAAUGGGGUCUUCCCGCAAGGGACUGGCGGUUCAGGUGCUGCAUGGCUGUCGU